GUUUAAUUUGUAACAGGUUGCUGUCAUAAUCUCCCGACAUUUCAAGGCCAUGAAAUGUACAUGAUUGGUUUAAGUGCUCAGAAAACACACAUAUGCUCUGAAAAAAAUUUCAUUUUAAUAUUUGCCGUGGAAUAGAGUGAGAAUCUGAGGGCAUUCGAGAAUAAAUUAAAGGAAAAAAAAAAGAGACAUGUUCUGCAUUUGUAAAAACAGACACCUAGAUGAUGGUGAAAUCGCUAAACGGAAAGGACGUGGGCCUCUAAAUUUUGUGGACCAGGUCAGGAACAUACCCUUCCUCAGGAUGCUGUGGACUAUGAUGUGUGAUACAACUACCUCAGUUUCAGCCUGUAGAGAAACUGAAAGUUGUCACUCUAAUCCUUACAACAACAACAACAACAACAACAACAACAACAACAACAAUUCUGGGGGAAAUAAAAAUGAACUUUUCUUAGAUAUAUCAGAAAAGUGAGUUUGUGGG
rnacentral:lncRNA from 1 species